rnacentral:siRNA from 1 species
UAUCACAUCCUCCUACAAGUUCUC